rnacentral:rRNA from 1 species
GACGAACGCUGGCGGCGUGCUUAACACAUGCAAGUCGAACGGUAAGGCCCUUCGGGGUACACGAGUGGCGAACGGGUGAGUAACACGUGGGUGAUCUGCCCUGCACUUCGGGAUAAGCCUGGGAAACUGGGUCUAAUACCGGAUAGGACUCCGGACUGCAUGGUCUGGGGUGGAAAGCUUUUGCGGUGUGGGAUGGGCCCGCGGCCUAUCAGCUUGUUGGUGGGGUGAUGGCCUACCAAGGCGACGACGGGUAGCCGGCCUGGGAGGGUGACCGGCCACACUGGGACGGGGAUACGGCCCGGACUCCUACGGGAGGCAGCAGUGGGGAAUAUUGCACAAUGGGCGCAAGCCUGAUGCAGCGACGCCGCGUGAGGGAUGACGGCCUUCGGGUUGUAAACCUCUUUCAGCAUCGACGAAGCGAAAGUGACGGUAGGUGCAGAAGAAGGACCGGCCAACUACGUGCCAGCCGCCGCUGUAA